GACGAACGCUGGCGGCGUGCUUAACACAUGCAAGUCGAACGGAAAGGCCCUGCUUUUGUGGGGUGCUCGAGUGGCGAACGGGUGAGUAACACGUGAGUAACCUGCCCUUGACUUUGGGAUAACUUCAGGAAACUGGGGCUAAUACCGGAUAGGAGCUCCUGCUGCAUGGUGGGGGUUGGAAAGUUUCGGCGGCUGGGGAUGGACUCGCGGCUUAUCAGCUUGUUGGUGGGGUAGUGGCUUACCAAGGCUUUGACGGGUAGCCGGCCUGAGAGGGUGACCGGCCACAUUGGGACUGCGAUACGGCCCAGACUCCUACGGGAGGCAGCAGUGGGGAAUAUUGCACAAUGGGCGGAAGCCUGAUGCAGCAACGCCGCGUGCGGGAUGACGGCCUUCGGGUUGUAAACCGCUUUCGCCUGUGACGAAGCGUGAGUGACGGUAAUGGGUAAAGAAGCACCGGCUAACUACGUG
rnacentral:rRNA from 1 species